rfam:Xenorhabdus nematophila ATCC 19061 chromosome, complete genome
UUCAAUGGCGGUUCAGGCGGGGAAGGCUUUGCCUUGCCGGAAGUGAACGCCGGUCCGCGAACCCUGUCUGAAUUGCCACCAUC